rnacentral:rRNA from 1 species
AACAAACGCUGGCGGCGUGCCUAAUACAUGCAAGUCGAACGGGGUAGCAAUACCUAGUGGCGCACGGGUGAGUAACGCGUGGAUAAUCUGCCUUAGAGUGGGGGAUAACUAGUCGAAAGAUUAGCUAAUACCGCAUAAGACCACAAGAACUGCGGUUUAAGGGGUCAAAGGUUUUUCGCUCUAAGAUGAGUCCGCGUAAGAUUAGCUAGUUGGUGAGGUAAUGGCUCACCAAGGCGACGAUCUUUAACUGGUCUGAGAGGAUGAUCAGUCACACUGGAACUGAGACACGGUCCAGACUCCUACGGGAGGCAGCAGUAGGGAAUAUUGCACAAUGGAGGAAACUCUGAUGCAGCGACGCCGCGUGAGUGAUGAAGGCCUUCGGGUCGUAAAGCUCUGUCGCAAGGGAAUAACACAAUGAAUGCACCUUGCAAGAAAGGAUCGGCUAACUUCGUGCCAGCCGCCGCGGUAAAAC